UCAGCCGGCCGGGCGGCCGCUCCCGUCACAUGCCGAAAGGCGGCGGGGGAGGAAAGUCCGGGCUCCACGGAGAAACGGUGCCGGGUAACGCCCGGCGGGGGCGACCCCAGGGAAAGUGCCACAGAGAACGAACCGCCUCGGCCUGCCGGGGUAAGGGUGAAAAGGUGGGGUAAGAGCCCACCGCGCGACCGGCAACGGGAGCGGCACGGCAAACCCCACCGGGAGCAAGACCGAAUAGGGACGACGCGGCGGCUCCGGCUGCCAGCCCUUCUCCGGGCCGGUCGUCCGGGUGGGUUGCUCGAGGCGGCGCGCGAGCGCCGUCCCAGAGGAAUGGUCGCCCGGUGGCUUCGGCCAUCGACAGAACCCGGCUUACAGGCCGGCUGACUUC
rnacentral:RNase_P_RNA from 1 species